rnacentral:tRNA from 1 species
UAAAAAACUUCAAUUCCU